GACGAACGCUGGCGGCGUGCUUAACACAUGCAAGUCGAGCGGUAAGGCCCUUUCGGGGGUACGACGAGCGGCGAACGGGUGAGUAACACGUGGGUGACCUGCCCUCCAGCUCUGGGAUAAGCCUGGGAAACCGGGUCUAAUACUGGAUAUGACUCCAUGACGCAUGUUGUGGGGUGGAAAGCCUUGUGCGGCUGAGGAUGGGCCCGCGGCCUAUCAGCUUGUUGGUGGGGUGAUGGCCUACCAAGGCGACGACGGAUAGCCGGCCUGAGAGGGCGACCGGCCACACUGGGACUGAGACACGGCCCAGACUCCUACGGGA
rnacentral:rRNA from 1 species